ACGCACGCUGGCGGCGUGCUUAACACAUGCAAGUCGAACGGAGAGGCCCUGCUUUUGUGGGGUGCUCGAGUGGCGAACGGGUGAGUAACACGUGAGUAACCUGCCCUUGACUUUGGGAUAACUUCAGGAAACUGGGGCUAAUACCGGAUAGGAGCUCCUGCUGCAUGGUGGGGGUUGGAAAGUUUCGGCGGUUGGGGAUGGACUCGCGGCUUAUCAGCUUGUUGGUGGGGUAGUGGCUUACCAAGGCUUUGACGGGUAGCCGGCCUGAGAGGGUGACCGGCCACAUUGGGACUGAGAUACGGCCCAGACUCCUACGGGAGGCAGCAGUGGGGAAUAUUGCACAAUGGGCGGAAGCCUGAUGCAGCAACGCCGCGUGCGGGAUGACGGCCUUCGGGUUGUAAACCGCUUUCGCCUGUGACGAAGCGUGAGUGACGGUAAUGGGUAAAGAAGCACCGGCUAACUACGUG
rnacentral:rRNA from 1 species